UCCCUCUCAAUAUUGAGCCUGGGGAAUUUCCAGUAAUCUACCAGUCUCAGCUAUUGGAGGGAGAGUCAAGCAGAGACAUAGCCAUUCCAUUCCUAGCUUGGACAAUGGCUAGCAAGUAGAAGAUAAUCUGCUACAAGU
rfam:Ornithorhynchus anatinus chromosome 1, whole genome shotgun sequence.